UUGAGUCUAAUAGAUGGUGCGGUGAUUAUAAGGACUCAACUUGGAUGGCACGGAAACUGGCACGGUUCAGAGUGUACGCGCUUUUUCUUCUCCACGCACCAGGACUUACUUUCAUCCAGAUGCACCGUCCGGGCUAUGAACCACCGGGCAGUUUGGACCAGGAAACCGGAUUAAAAACUCCCCGCACGCCGCCCUGCUCUAGCUGAUCCUGGGCUGACGUGACCGUCCAAAGGGAAGCUGGUUGUAAGAUCUCAUUACGGAUCACAGCGCAGAGAAGUACUGCAGGUUGUCAACUCAGUUUCGUCAGUUUGGACGAAGACUGCGACGAAACUCCGGCGACAGAUGCGGGUUUGUUAAAGAAAAAGCCGAGCCUCAGAGCGAGCGGCCGAGCCAGAACGCGGAGGAAGCAACUUCAGCUCGUUUCCAGCGACUGAGGCAGAAGCGCGCCGCUCCCCUUUAAACACGAGCCACGCUGCGAACCGCCACCACGGGCCACGCUCGAGUGGUGUGAAAGAGAGAUUUCCAGCUUCCUGGAAGAACCUCGCUAAAAAAAAAUCCUGGGCUGAAUAAAGUGACAUAUUUCACGUUUCAAAAUACCAGCCUCCCUGACACGCACGCUCCUUCCCUCUCCUCCUCCCUUGCCUUUUGUUUUCUUUGACACGUGCACUCCAAUUAGCAUUUUUCAGCCAUUAAGGAGGAAAGAGAAGCAGCCAAAUGUUUGUCUCUCCGAGCUCUUUUUUUUUUUCCCACCCCGACAUGAGUUUCUGAGGGCGUGCGCCGGGGAAAAAACUAUAAAACACAGAAUAUUAUCCUCAGAGUUAACAUUAUCUUCCCCUCAUAACAAUUACCAAUAGCUUUGUGCGGGGAAGUGACAACGCGACUGUUCACGGGAGCAGUUGUCAGUCCACAUUUGGAGCAAUUAAAAUGAGUUUGCGGGGAGAAAACACGAGCGGCGAGGAUUAUUUUCGUGUCUGGUGGCGUCCCGUUAAACGUUCCCUAAAUGUUUCUAACAAUAUGACUUCUCUCAGACGAGCAGCUCCCUUUAAGGACAACAGAAAAAGCCGCGUGGUAACGUUCAGUCAGACGGCGAGGCUGCAGUCGGAAGCCUUUGCUCUCGUGUGUCAAAUCACGGCGUCCUAAUCUUCGGCUUUGCUCUUAAAUUUAAAUCAGCGGAUCUCAAAUUGCACAGAUCCCUCGCUGCGGGCUCGGGCUGCUAAAAUCUGUCAUAGCUGCCGGCGCGCCGAACAUUAAGGGAGAAAAUGCUCUUAAAAAGGUGCUUUUCUGACAUUAACAUGACUUGUGUGCAUAACGCCGGUCGAUCUGUGUAGUUUGAGGCAUAUAUUUAUGAAUAGGAACCUUUAAUUAGGGCUUGUGUUUCCUCCCUAGUCACAUUGAGGGAUGGUCCUCGCCGACAUUCAUUAAUGAUAAUCACCAAGAGCGAUGGCGUAGCUACAGGCCAAGUCUCGGGGGACCCGACACUUGAAAAGAAGCAUUAAAUUACACAGAGGGACUCUUUAAUUGCAAAAAGGAAAAUAUAUAGCCAUCAUUGUUAAAUAUGAUCUUUUGUAAGCCUUUACUGGUUCAGGGAUUUGUCUAAGGGCUUCACAUGCUCACACUCUUUACAAUCCGGAGCCACAUUUCGGUUGAUGGCGCAGCACGAAACCUGUGUCGAUUAUAGGUUUCUACCCCGCAGCAAAAGCAACAGCACACUUCAAACUAUUUCCGUCUGAUUUUCUGAAAGUUGUGUGUCAUAGAAACGGAUCUGGCACAUCUUUCUGCUACAUAUUUGUUUUCCGUGUGAAGGAAUCCUCCUCAGCGGGUUUGAUCCGUUCAGAAUCCAGCCACUUAGAGACGUGUGAGAUCAGAGCCGAGGCGCCUGCGACCGGUGCGACGUCGCCUGGCUCAAUUGUUCCCGUCCUUGCAGGGAUAAAAUGGAAGCGCUAUCAGCUGAAAUAUCCGCUGCCACGUUCUAAAAGGAAGCGACGCGAGCGCAGAAGCAGCAGCACGCGAGGCGGCCCGGCUACGGGGCGACACAUCUGGAUCCCGGCAGCUGUUGUCACCUUUACGAGCCACUUGAGAUCAUCCUGGAGAACAGCACAUUUCUUUGUUUUUUUUUUUGUGUGUGUGUGUUUUUUUUUUUUUUUUUGACAUAAAAAUGCAGCGUAAGUGAGUUAAUAAAUACAGUGUGCAUGCAAACUGUUAAUGCUGUGCGCCCGCGACGCUGUUAGGAUCAAAGUGUGCUGCUGUGAUGGCACGACGCCCGGCCCAAAUACCAACCAAGUAGUUAAGUUCUUUUAUUGUCGAUGAUUCGCUAACAUUUCACAGGAUGGAUAGUAGUGAAACAUCAUCAAGCAACAGCGCGGAUCAGAUUUCGCUCUAGGAAGGUGAGAAUAAAGCUUUCAUACCCAAUGCGGAGCUGUGACCUUCCAGUGAGGAGACCUGGGGAGGUGUGAGCGUAUGUCGUGAUGCAGCUGGAUCCUUGUGAGAUCAGGAGAUCACAUGAUGACAAUCCAUCCCGAGGCUUCAAGCUAUGAGGCUGGUGGUCUGCGGAGGUGCAGCUGUGGGCCUCUUUUAAACUUCGAUGACAUGCCAGGUGUCCAAGCUCCUCAGAUUGCGCCUUUGUGAUUCUUUGGCAGUUCUUCCUACGUAGAUGUAAUUGGUUGAAGUUACUACAGCACAAAUUAUCCAGGAUUACGGCAAUGACAGGCAACAAACUUAUGGCAAUACAUGACUACUUCCAUUUCACUGUGGAGGAGAAUGGAAAGUAAAGAUGUCUGGAUUGCUGGAUUACCUGCACCUACAUCUGUAGGAUGUUACAAUUACAUUACAUGUCAAUGUUCUUUAUGAAACUUGACAGUGCAAUAUUAAGUUCUGUGUGAAGGUGAGCGAGUGCACCCAUCAAGCAUAACAUUAUGACCACUGACAGGAGAAGUAAAUAACAUUGUUGUGACAAAACAACUGGAGGAACCGUUUGGACCUGGAAUUAUUAUGAUGUUACGUAGACAUGUACCACCCACCUAGACCGGACCGGACACCCACAGCCCAUAGCAGUGACCAGCAGGACGCACAGACACACACAGAAACGCUUUAGAAACAAAUAAAAAACAUGAAAAACGGCACAAAUAGCCCUCAGAAGGCCCCUGUCCACUGAUCUGAUGAGACACAACUGUUUUGCAGGCACAACGGACCUACACGAUAUUGAGAAGGUGGUCAUAAUGUUAUGCCUGAUUGGUGUAAGCACUAGUACUUCUAAUUUCUACAAAAGGCACAUCUUAUGUGUGAAAGACUCACGAGGAGGAAAAUGUCCGAGA